AACCCACUCAUCCCGACCCUAUCCUCUCGAACCCACCCACUCCUUUCUCUCAUGCUCCAUCCAAUCUCCGCAACUUCCCCCACCCAGCUCGCCGCCGCACCACCUGCCUCCUCACCCGGCUGCCGCACCACCUGCCUUCCCACCCCGUCACCAGCCAGGGCUCGUGCCGGCCCGCCGCCUCUCAUCUCCAACCGCACCUCCUUGCCGGCCGUCCCGCCCUGUCCUUUUUCCUCUCGGAGCGCCCAUACCUCCUUCUCCCCGUGGCGCGUCGCCCCUCCCCCCCGCGGGCCGCCCCCCGCCCCACCCCUCUCGGUACUGCCUCCUAACGCCGGCGAGCACAAGUUCCGUGCCUUCCCUUCCCUAACCUCCCCCCCCACUGUUUCCCGGAUCUGCAUCUGCCAUGGAGAUGGCGCGGUUCCCCUCCCGGCGAGAUCUGGACAUGGGCACCCUCCCCUGUUGGCCUCAGAUCUGGCCGUGACUAGGGGUAGGGGCAUGCUGCCUGCGCGCAUCAGUAAGCUAUAGGUCCUCCCUGAUGCCGCCGCUUUCACCACCGGUCGCCGGACUGCCGGUCCUCUCCACUCUCCCUUCUCCAAUGACCGCCCCAAGUUUGUUGUUGUUUCCUCCCGCCAGCAUCGUCCAAACGUGCCCCGCGGUGAGAUCCCCAUGUCCCACGUGCUUCAUUGGACCUGCAUUCCUCCAACACAUGCGCCCCGCACGGGCUGCCUCAGGGACGCCAGGACAAACUGCAACCGGCCAAGAGCAAUCCAUAGCCCACCAUGGCCUGUGACGCCACUACUGGACUCUGGUUGCUUCUUCAUUGCAGCUCGGUUGGGUCGUCGGUGCAGUACGCAGGCACCUGAGAGGACGACGGGCGUGUAGUUUGGUUUCGGCCAUGUGUCACUCCGGUAUGGUUGCGCGCGUCAUGCAUUUUACUCGGGUGUGCACAGAAGGUUCUUGUAAUCCGUCGGCGUGCAGUUUCGACAGCGGUUCGUCAGCUCGUCCUGUGCAGCUCAGUUUCUGCAGGCACACGAUGCGGCAUUUCGCAUGGUGCAGUUCGGCAGCGGUUCGACAACAUGUCUUGUUUUGCAUCUGGUGCCAUUGUGUGUGCAUUUUAGUAGUUGGCUGCCCCGUGUAGUUCAGCUAAUGUGUUUGUAUAUUUAUCUAUAGAGAAGGAUUUUUUUUGCAGAUUUGGGAUGUACAAUUCAUCUCAUGUGGUUGCAGUGCGCUUGCGCGUACGGUCCAGUGAUAUUUUCAUAUUUUUGUUCAAGUUUACCCCCAACCAUUAAAUCAGUUUGUAAUUUUGCCCGAUGACUUGCGGUUCACUUGGUUAUACCAAAAAAGGUAUGGGCUUGUUUGUAGGGUAUGGUGCAGUUCUUUUGUAUUCGUCCCUGUGUCAAAACUGUAAAAAAUGAAUGCAGUUCAAUUUUCCUUUAAUGUU